UCUUGGCGCCGGAUCCGCCGGUGAGGAGACCGGGGUCACCGGAUCUGACGGCCCCGGCCUCCUUACUAGGAGAUCCGACGGCUCAU
rnacentral:pre_miRNA from 2 species